rnacentral:lncRNA from 1 species
CUAGCAACGGCUGCCCAACAAUCACUUGGCUGAAGAGAGUCGGUAGCAAACAUGCUGUGCUGCUUUUCCAGGCCUCAAGGCCGCAGCCUCAAGACCCCACACGGGAAAAGCACUUGGGAAUGGGUGAGAGGAUGGAUCACUGGGUCCAGACACUCCAGGCCACUCCAGGAACCACCCAGUCCUCAGGAGCAUCCCAGGGCAGGUCUCCCUGGACAGCCUCCUCAUCUAUAGGCCCUCUGUCCCGGAACCCAGAAGGGCCUGCAUUUCCUCCCCACUGGAGGGGAUGGAGGAAAGGAGCAGCUCCAGUCCAAGCUGAAGUCCCACCUGCAGAGCCUGUGCCAGCUCCACCUGCAGCUGCCUCCCCAGCUCUGGCACCACAGCCAGAGCGAGCACCAGGAAGCCCUUCUCCUCCAGCUGGACAGCUGGGGCAAAUGGUGGCUCCUCAGCAGGUGUCAGCUCCUGACCUCCCCUUGGGGCAAGCUCCUGCCCCACACUGGCCAUUCCCCUCCAUUAUUGUUGCUCUUGUUUUUUCCUUGACUUUUGCACUUAUUUGCUGGAUUUAUGUCAAUGAUAGAUUGAUUUUUAAAUAAAAGGUAAGAUUUUACUGUUGCUUAACAUGAUCGGCUUGGUGGCAUGAAGUACCUUCUCAGUGCGGUGAACCUGACACCUCUGUCGAGGUCCAGGGCAUUUUCCUCAGUGCUGCACCCAUGAGUGGUUCCUCCUCUGACACCUGCUGCUAGUCCCUGGCCACCACUCAUCUUAUGUCCCCGUAAUUUACCUAUUCUACAUUUUUCACAUCAGUUCAAUCAGAUUUCUCCGUGUCCACAUAAUCCUGG